UUAACAUCAAGGAACGGGAGAGUAACCUACAUGGGUGCCAUUUCAAGCGAGCCGGGACAGUGGAAGCCGGCAAUGGACGAUUAGGUGAAGCGCACCCGGGAGAUGGCGGCCUGAAACGAGCAAUCAUGCUAGGGACGUCCGGUUCAGCACCGUUACAACGGCGAGAUGCCCCUCUUUGUUUCUGUGCGGAGGCGGCAACAAGAGUGGUACCGCGGGGAUAACAGGCCUCGUCUCUUAU
rnacentral:ncRNA from 1 species